UCACAUGCGGCUCACGGCGUGCUGCGCCGUCUCGGUGGCCGCCAGCUCGCCGCGGCGGCGCGUGACGAAACUGAGCCGCUCGGCGGUGGCCGGUUUGAACACGGCCUCCGGGUCGGCGUCCACGGCGUCGGCGAGCCGCGGCCACAUCCUGGCGGUGACCAGCCACGACCCGUCUCCCGCGGGGCUCCGGAUCACUGUCAUGGCCGCCGACCCGAGCCUCCCCGGCCGCACCCACGGCAUCACCAGCCGCGGCGGGCCGAACCCAAAGUCGCCCUCCACCCUGAACGGCACGAACGCCGACACCACCAGCGCCGGGCUGCCCGUGCCCAGCCCCACCGCCUCCGUCCACUUGCCGCCCUCCGCGAACACCCCCUUGUGCGCUUCCAUCCAGUCCACCAGCUCCUCGUACCGCUCCUGCCGGAACACCUCCGCGAUGGCCGCGGCGGCCAUCGUCGCCACGUCGGCGAGCGGGGAGGAGCGCACCGUCUCCACGACCGCCUCCCGGGACGCGUAGGUGACGACGUUGCCAAGGUAGUUGUUGACGUGGGUCUUGUUGUAUUUGGCGGGGUCGAGGCCCCGGCGGCCGUCGACGAGCCACGCCAUGCGGCAGUGCGUGUCGGAGCCGCCCACGGCCGCGGCGAGCAGCUUCCAUACGUGCGCGGAGAGGGCCUCAAGCCGCGUGGCGCGGCGGACGGGGCCGCUUGCCGCCGCGCGGAGGCGGUCGACGUCUGCGGCAUCCACGACGUAGUUGCGGCGCACGAGGGCGGCGGCUAG
rnacentral:rRNA from 1 species